CCGAGGGGCAGCUAGGGAGCGCGGCUUGAGGAGGGCGGGGCCGUUCCGCAGGCCCGCCAGUGUCCUCAGCUGCCUCCGCGCGCCAAAGUCAAACCCCGACACCCGCCGGCGGGCCGGUGAGCUCACUAGCUGACCCGGCAGGUCAGGAUCUGGCUUAGCGGCGCCGCGAGCUCCAGUGCGCGCACCUGUGGCCGCCUCCCAGCCCUCUCUGCCGGACGAGCUCUGGGCCGCCACAAGACUAAGGAAUGGCCACCCCGCCCAAGAGAAGCUGCCCGUCUCUCUCAGCCAGCUCUGAGGGGACCCGCAUCAAGAAAAUCUCCAUCGAAGGGAACAUCGCUGCCGGGAAGUCAACAUUUGUGAAUAUCCUUAAACAAUUGUGUGAAGAUUGGGAAGUGGUUCCUGAACCUGUUGCCAGAUGGUGCAAUGUUCAAAGUACUCAAGAUGAAUUUGAGGAACUUACAAUGUCUCAGAAAAAUGGUGGGAAUGUUCUUCAGAUGAUGUAUGAGAAACCUGAACGAUGGUCUUUUACCUUCCAAACAUAUGCCUGUCUCAGUCGAAUAAGAGCUCAGCUUGCCUCUCUGAAUGGCAAGCUCAAAGAUGCAGAGAAACCUGUAUUAUUUUUUGAACGAUCUGUGUAUAGUGACAGGUAUAUUUUUGCAUCUAAUUUGUAUGAAUCUGAAUGCAUGAAUGAGAUAGAGUGGACAAUUUAUCAAGACUGGCAUGACUGGAUGAAUAACCAAUUUGGCCAAAGCCUUGAAUUGGAUGGAAUCAUUUAUCUUCGAG
rnacentral:lncRNA from 1 species